AAAGGUAGAGAAUGAUCUUUAUUCACCCCACUUACAAUGGGGGUAUCCUAACUUAGGUGCCUUAA
rnacentral:tRNA from 1 species